AUUUGCAUAUUAAAGCAGCACUCAACCAGGUUAGAUAUGUAGAUCAGAGAGGAAGUUCUUCCUGUCUCAUCCAGGAUACAGACACAUAGCUGACCGCAUGGGAACACCACAUCUACAGAAAACACUCAACCAGGUUAGAUAUGUAGAUCAGAGAGGAAGUUCUUCCUGUCUCAUCCAGGAUACAGACACAUAGCUGACCGCAUGGGAACACCACAUCUACAGAAAACACUCAACCAGGUUAGAUAUGUAGAUCAGAGAGGAAGUUCUUCCUGUCUCAUCCAGGAUACAGACACAUAGCUGACCGCAUGGGAACACCACAUCUACAGAAAACACUCAACCAGGUUAGAUAUGUAGAUCAGAGAGGAAGUUCUUCCUGUCUCAUCCAGGAUACAGACACAUAGCUGACCGCAUGGGAACACCACAUCUACAGAAAACACUCAACCAGGUUAGAUAUGUAGAUCAGAGAGGAAGUUCUUCCUGUCUCAUCCAGGAUACAGACACAUAGCUGACCGCAUGGGAACACCACAUCUACAGAAAACACUCAACCAGGUUAGAUAUGUAGAUCAGAGAGGAAGUUCUUCCUGUCUCAUCCAGGAUACAGACACAUAGCUGACCGCAUGGGAACACCACAUCUACAGAAAACACUCAACCAGGUUAGAUAUGUAGAUCAGAGAGGAAGUUCUUCCUGUCUCAUCCAGGAUACAGACACAUAGCUGACCGCAUGGGAACACCACAUCUACAGAAAACACUCAACCAGGUUAGAUAUGUAGAUCAGAGAGGAAGUUCUUCCUGUCUCAUCCAGGAUACAGACACAUAGCUGACCGCAUGGGAACACCACAUCUACAGAAAACACUCAACCAGGUUAGAUAUGUAGAUCAGAGAGGAAGUUCUUCCUGUCUCAUCCAGGAUACAGACACAUAGCUGACCGCAUGGGAACACCACAUCUACAGAAAACACUCAACCAGGUUAGAUAUGUAGAUCAGAGAGGAAGUUCUUCCUGUCUCAUCCAGGAUACAGACACAUAGCUGACCGCAUGGGAACACCACAUCUACAGAAAACACUCAACCAGGUUAGAUAUGUAGAUCAGAGAGGAAGUUCUUCCUGUCUCAUCCAGGAUACAGACACAUAGCUGACCGCAUGGGAACACCACAUCUACAGAAAACACUCAACCAGGUUAGAUAUGUAGAUCAGAGAGGAAGUUCUUCCUGUCUCAUCCAGGAUACAGACACAUAGCUGACCGCAUGGGAACACCACAUCUACAGAAAACACUCAACCAGGUUAGAUAUGUAGAUCAGAGAGGAAGUUCUUCCUGUCUCAUCCAGGAUACAGACACAUAGCUGACCGCAUGGGAACACCACAUCUACAGAAAACACUCAACCAGGUUAGAUAUGUAGAUCAGAGAGGAAGUUCUUCCUGUCUCAUCCAGGAUACAGACACAUAGCUGACCGCAUGGGAACACCACAUCUACAGAAAACACUCAACCAGGUUAGAUAUGUAGAUCAGAGAGGAAGUUCUUCCUGUCUCAUCCAGGAUACAGACACAUAGCUGACCGCAUGGGAACACCACAUCUACAGAAAACACUCAACCAGGUUAGAUAUGUAGAUCAGAGAGGAAGUUCUUCCUGUCUCAUCCAGGAUACAGACACAUAGCUGACCGCAUGGGAACACCACAUCUACAGAAAACACUCAACCAGGUUAGAUAUGUAGAUCAGAGAGGAAGUUCUUCCUGUCUCAUCCAGGAUACAGACACAUAGCUGACCGCAUGGGAACACCACAUCUACAGAAAACACUCAACCAGGUUAGAUAUGUAGAUCAGAGAGGAAGUUCUUCCUGUCUCAUCCAGGAUACAGACACAUAGCUGACCGCAUGGGAACACCACAUCUACAGAAAACACUCAACCAGGUUAGAUAUGUAGAUCAGAGAGGAAGUUCUUCCUGUCUCAUCCAGGAUACAGACACAUAGCUGACCGCAUGGGAACACCACAUCUACAGAAAACACUCAACCAGGUUAGAUAUGUAGAUCAGAGAGGAAGUUCUUCCUGUCUCAUCCAGGAUACAGACACAUAGCUGACCGCAUGGGAACACCACAUCUACAGAAAACACUCAACCAGGUUAGAUAUGUAGAUCAGAGAGGAAGUUCUUCCUGUCUCAUCCAGGAUACAGACACAUAGCUGACCGCAUGGGAACACCACAUCUACAGAAAACACUCAACCAGGUUAGAUAUGUAGAUCAGAGAGGAAGUUCUUCCUGUCUCAUCCAGGAUACAGACACAUAGCUGACCGCAUGGGAACACCACAUCUACAGAAAACACUCAACCAGGUUAGAUAUGUAGAUCAGAGAGGAAGUUCUUCCUGUCUCAUCCAGGAUACAGACACAUAGCUGACCGCAUGGGAACACCACAUCUACAGAAAACACUCAACCAGGUUAGAUAUGUAGAUCAGAGAGGAAGUUCUUCCUGUCUCAUCCAGGAUACAGACACAUAGCUGACCGCAUGGGAACACCACAUCUACAGAAAACACUCAACCAGGUUAGAUAUGUAGAUCAGAGAGGAAGUUCUUCCUGUCUCAUCCAGGAUACAGACACAUAGCUGACCGCAUGGGAACACCACAUCUACAGAAAACACUCAACCAGGUUAGAUAUGUAGAUCAGAGAGGAAGUUCUUCCUGUCUCAUCCAGGAUACAGACACAUAGCUGACCGCAUGGGAACACCACAUCUACAGAAAACACUCAACCAGGUUAGAUAUGUAGAUCAGAGAGGAAGUUCUUCCUGUCUCAUCCAGGAUACAGACACAUAGCUGACCGCAUGGGAACACCACAUCUACAGAAAACACUCAACCAGGUUAGAUAUGUAGAUCAGAGAGGAAGUUCUUCCUGUCUCAUCCAGGAUACAGACACAUAGCUGACCGCAUGGGAACACCACAUCUACAGAAAACACUCAACCAGGUUAGAUAUGUAGAUCAGAGAGGAAGUUCUUCCUGUCUCAUCCAGGAUACAGACACAUAGCUGACCGCAUGGGAACACCACAUCUACAGAAAACACUCAACCAGGUUAGAUAUGUAGAUCAGAGAGGAAGUUCUUCCUGUCUCAUCCAGGAUACAGACACAUAGCUGACCGCAUGGGAACACCACAUCUACAGAAAACACUCAACCAGGUUAGAUAUGUAGAUCAGAGAGGAAGUUCUUCCUGUCUCAUCCAGGAUACAGACACAUAGCUGACCGCAUGGGAACACCACAUCUACAGAAAACACUCAACCAGGUUAGAUAUGUAGAUCAGAGAGGAAGUUCUUCCUGUCUCAUCCAGGAUACAGACACAUAGCUGACCGCAUGGGAACACCACAUCUACAGAAAACACUCAACCAGGUUAGAUAUGUAGAUCAGAGAGGAAGUUCUUCCUGUCUCAUCCAGGAUACAGACACAUAGCUGACCGCAUGGGAACACCACAUCUACAGAAAACACUCAACCAGGUUAGAUAUGUAGAUCAGAGAGGAAGUUCUUCCUGUCUCAUCCAGGAUACAGACACAUAGCUGACCGCAUGGGAACACCACAUCUACAGAAAACACUCAACCAGGUUAGAUAUGUAGAUCAGAGAGGAAGUUCUUCCUGUCUCAUCCAGGAUACAGACACAUAGCUGACCGCAUGGGAACACCACAUCUACAGAAAACACUCAACCAGGUUAGAUAUGUAGAUCAGAGAGGAAGUUCUUCCUGUCUCAUCCAGGAUACAGACACAUAGCUGACCGCAUGGGAACACCACAUCUACAGAAAACACUCAACCAGGUUAGAUAUGUAGAUCAGAGAGGAAGUUCUUCCUGUCUCAUCCAGGAUACAGACACAUAGCUGACCGCAUGGGAACACCACAUCUACAGAAAACACUCAACCAGGUUAGAUAUGUAGAUCAGAGAGGAAGUUCUUCCUGUCUCAUCCAGGAUACAGACACAUAGCUGACCGCAUGGGAACACCACAUCUACAGAAAACACUCAACCAGGUUAGAUAUGUAGAUCAGAGAGGAAGUUCUUCCUGUCUCAUCCAGGAUACAGACACAUAGCUGACCGCAUGGGAACACCACAUCUACAGAAAACACUCAACCAGGUUAGAUAUGUAGAUCAGAGAGGAAGUUCUUCCUGUCUCAUCCAGGUUAGAUAUGUAGAUGCAGAGAGGAAGUUCUUCCUGUCUCAUCCAGGAUAGAUAUGUAGAUGCAGAGAGGAAGUUCUUCCUGUCUCAUCCAGGAUAGAUAUGUAGAUGCAGAGAGGAAGUUCUUCCUGUCUCAUCCAGGAUAGAUAUGUAGAUGCAGAGAGGAAGUUCUUCCUGUCUCAUCCAGGAUAGAUAUGUAGAUGCAGAGAGGAAGUUCUUCCUGUCUCAUCCAGGAUAGAUAUGUAGAUGCAGAGAGGAAGUUCUUCCUGUCUCAACCAGGUUAGAUAUGUAGAUGCAGAGAGGAAGUUC